rnacentral:rRNA from 1 species
CCUACGGGAGGCAGCAGUGGGGAAUAUUGCACAAUGGGCGCAAGCCUGAUGCAGCCAUGCCGCGUGUGUGAAGAAGGCCUUCGGGUUGUAAAGCACUUUCAGUCGUGAGGAAGGUAGUGUAGUUAAUAGCUGCAUUAUUUGACGUUAGCGACAGAAGAAGCACCGGCUAACUCCGUG